GUGAGUCACAGCUAGGAUAGGUGUGGCUAUGACUGCAUAAACAGAAAUAAAAGGGAUUUAACUCCUAAAUGGCAGAUAAUUGAGCAGUAAUACUGCAGGUGCAUGAUCUAUACACAAAAACUGCUUCAUUAGGCUAAAGUUGUUUUGGAUAUCUAUUGUGUCCUUUUAAGAGGUGUGAUCCUAGAACCUACUUAGCAAUAACUAAUCUUUACACGGACAAGGGGACCAGCAUUUGGGG